rnacentral:rRNA from 1 species
UACAUGGGGUGCAAACGUUGCUCGGAAUCAUUGGGCGUAAAGCGCGCGUAGGCGGUUACUUAAGUUGGAUGUGAAAGCCCUCGGCUUAACUGAGGAAGUGCAUCCAAAACUGAGUAGCUAGAGUACGAAAGAGGGUCGCGGAAUUCCCGGUGUAGAGGUGAAAUUCGUAGAUAUCGGGAGGAACGCCGGUGGCGAAGGCGGCGACCUGGGUCGAGACUGACGCUGAGGCGCGAAAGCGUGGGGAGCAAACAGG